UAAUUUAAUUUAACUUAAUUUGUUGAUAUCAUGUCCAGUUAUUUUCUUCAUACAUUUUUUUAAAAUUUGUUGUUUACUGUAUAAGUAGAUCAAGAGCAAAACCUGAUGUUUUUGUAGCUGGCAGCCCACAGUUGCUUUUGCAAAGAGCUGCGUCUCUGGUUACAUUUCUCUUUUAUCUGGUUUGAGGAUGAAAUGGAUGCUACUCUGGGAGGCCAGGGGUUUCAGAUGGUGGAACCAUAUAAUUUAUCUCCCACAUAGGAAUAUUUUUGACACUGAAAGAAGACACUAGAAGUAAAUCACUCUGAACAAUAAAUCAAAAUUGUUAUUUCCUUGGGAGAACUGAGAUAUAUGGUCCUUCUAGUUUUAAGUAAGUUCAUAAUAUUCUUAAUAUUAUUUUAUAAACUGUUUUCUUAGUCAAGUAAAAGCACCAGAAAUCCCCUUGUUGAUAAUUUUAUGCUUCAUAACGCCACACAGUCUGCACCAUUAGGGAGGAGACACUGACCACUCGGUGAGGAGUGUGCCAGGCUUGGCCUUAUUAAGCGGACGUCAGUUUAGAGAAAUGCAAACUACAAACUCCUGUGUAAGGUUUUUCAAUUAUCUUUUUAAGGUAAAAGCUAAAGCAAUGAUAUAAGAGGUGUACACAUUCGUCCAUUCUUUGGUCUUGAUAAUAGAGAUCUUAAGCGCUGUCAGUAUUCUUCACCAGGUGUCGAGAUCAGAGAGAAUCUCAUAGGAUUCAUUCACUUCUUCGAAUGUGGUUUAAAGGACAAGUGAAUCCUGCAACAGCUGAUCUUUAAGGAAGACUUGUCUUUUUCAAAUGAAGAAAAGUCACAUAAGGACACAGGGAGAAGUCAGCUGUCUGCAAGCCAGGAAGACCUUCACUAGACACUAACCCUGAUGGCACCUUGAUCUUGAACUUCCAGCCCCCAGAACUGUGAGAAAAUAGUUACCUGUUGUUUAAGCUACCUUGUCUGCAGUAUUUUGUUAUCGCUGUCUAAGUUAACUAAAACACCCCUUUGGGGGAACCUAGUGGCUCAAUCAGUUAAGUGUCCAACGCUUGGUUUCAGCUCAGGUCAUGAUCUCAGGAUUGUGAGAUUGAGCCCUGUGUCUGGCUCCAGCCUGGGUAUGGAGCCUGCUUGGGAUUCUUUCUCUCUCCCUCUCUCUCUGCCCCUCCCCUGCUCACUUUCUUUCUCUCUCUCUC